CCUACGGGGGGCAGCAGUAGGGAAUAUUGGACAAUGGGGGAAACCCUGAUCCAGCAAUGCCGCGUGAGUGAUGAAGGCCUUAGGGUUGUAAAGCUCUUUCGCCCGCGACGAUGAUGACGGUAGCGGGAGAAGAAGCCCCGGCUAACUUCGUGCCAGCAGCCGCGGUAAUACGAAGGGGGCUAGCGUUGUUCGGAAUUACUGGGCGUAAAGCGCACGCAGGCGGCGUGUUAAGUCAGGGGUGAAAGGCCUGGGCUCAACCCAGGAACGGCCUUUGAGACUGCCACGCUCGAGUACGGAAGAGGGUAGUGGAAUUCCCAGUGUAGAGGUGAAAUUCGUAGAUAUUGGGAAGAACACCGGUGGCGAAGGCGGCUAUCUGGACCGAUACUGACGCUGAGGCGCGAAAGCGUGGGGAGCAAACAGGAUUAGAUACCCUUGUAGUC
rnacentral:rRNA from 1 species